rnacentral:lncRNA from 1 species
UUCAAAACUCCUUGCAAACGUUAUUUUGAAAAUCAUAGGCCUCCAAGAAUAUCCUACUCUGAGCUAGAACCUCCAGAAGAGCGACACGGCCUGAGAUGUUCAGUCACAUGGAGGUGGCCACACAGCCCUUGAAAGCCCACCUGCCCUAAUACGGAAGCUCCAGAAGGCUCCUUGUUCUGUUCACCAAUGUUGCCCAUGCACCUGGAACACUGAUCAGCACUCAACAAACCCUUCAUAACGAAUGAAGGAACAAACUAGAACACAAGGCAGCUUAAUCGCGUGGUGUGGAGCCAGCAAUCUGUAAAGGAUUGUUGUUUAAAGUGUAAGAAUAGAUCAUUUCAUCCAUAAAACAGG